UGCUUUGCUCUGGGAAGAGUGCAGACACAUAACGUGAAAUCCCGAGCUUUUUGCGUGGUGCAUUUAAAAUGCUUCCUUGUUUAUAUUACCCUCAUUCCCUCACCUCCCCCACCCCCUCACCAGUCCUUCCAAAUUUCCCUAGAAAUCUAUGUAAAGCAUGCGGAGGGGAAAACAUUUGCACAAAAAGUGAAGGAGCUCGCCAAGGUAGGUGGAGCGUCAAUGACCAAGAGGAGACCAGAUGAGUUUUCAAAGCAGUCCUCAAACACCCAGGACACACCUCAUCCUUUACCUCGUGCUUUCUGCAAUGUUGCUGUUCAUGUUCAUCUUCCUAUUAACAUUUGCCAUAAUAACCCCUCAUUGACCACCAUCAUUCCUCCA
rnacentral:lncRNA from 1 species